UACGUAGGGUGCGAGCGUUGUCCGGAAUUAUUGGGCGUAAAGAGCUUGUAGGUGGUUUGUCGCGUCUGCUGUGAAAAUCCGAGGCUCAACCUCGGACUUGCGGUGGGUACGGGCAGACUAGAGGUAGGUAGGGGAGAAUGGAAUUCCCGGUGUAGCGGUGAAAUGCGCAGAUAUCGGGAGGAACACCGGUGGCGAAGGCGAUUCUCUGGGCCUUACCUGACGCUGAGGAGCGAAAGCGUGGGGAGCGAACAGG
rnacentral:rRNA from 1 species